AUUGAACGCUGGCGGCAUGCCUUACACAUGCAAGUCGAACGGCAGCGGGGGAGAAGCUUGCUUUUCCUGCCGGCGAGUGGCGAACGGGUGAGUAAUACAUCGGAACGUGCCCUGUAGUGGGGGAUAACUAGUCGAAAGAUUAGCUAAUACCGCAUACGACCUGAGGGUGAAAGUGGGGGACCGCAAGGCCUCAUGCUAUAGGAGCGGCCGAUGUCUGAUUAGCUAGUUGGUGGGGUAAAGGCCUACCAAGGCGACGAUCAGUAGCUGGUCUGAGAGGACGAUCAGCCACACUGGAACUGAGACACGGCCCAGACUCCUACGGGAGUCAGCAGUGGGGAAUUUUGGACAAUGGGCGAAAGCCUGAUCCAGCAAUGCCGCGUGUGUGAAGAAGGCCUUCGGGUUGUAAAGCACUUUUGUCCGGAAAGAAAUGGCUCUGGUUAAUACCUGGGGUCGAUGACGGUACCGGAAGAAUAAGGACCGGCUAACUACGUGCCAGCCGCCGCGGUAA
rnacentral:rRNA from 1 species